rnacentral:rRNA from 1 species
CACUCCUGCGGGAGGCGGCAGUGGGGAAUAUUGGACAAUGGGCGCAAGCCUGAUCCAGCCAUGCCGCGUGAGUGAUGAAGGCCCUAGGGUUGUAAAGCUCUUUCACCGGAGAAGAUAAUGACGGUAUCCGGAGAAGAAGCCCCGGCUAACUUCGUGCCAGCAGCCGCGGUAAUACGAAGGGGGCUAGCGUUGUUCGGAAUUACUGGGCGUAAAGCGCACGUAGGCGGAUCGAUCAGUCAGGGGUGAAAUCCCAGGGCUCAACCCUGGAACUGCCUUUGAUACUGUCGAUCUGGAGUAUGGAAGAGGUGAGUGGAAUUCCGAGUGUAGAGGUGAAAUUCGUAGAUAUUCGGAGGAACACCAGUGGCGAAGGCGGCUCACUGGUCCAUUACUGACGCUGAGGUGCGAAAGCGUGGGGAGCAAACAGGAUUAGAAACCCGAGUAGUCC